rnacentral:rRNA from 1 species
UACGAAGGGGGCUAGCGUUGUUCGGAUUUACUGGGCGUAAAGCGCACGUAGGCGGAUCGUUAAGUCGGGGGUGAAAUCCUGGAGCUCAACUCCAGAACUGCCUUCGAUACUGGCGAUCUAGAGUCCGGAAGAGGUGAGUGGAACUCCUAGUGUAGAGGUGGAAUUCGUAGAUAUUCGCAAGAACACCGGUGGCGAAGGCGGCCAACUGGACCAUUACUGACGCUGAGGCGCGAAAGCGUGGGGAGCAAACAGG